rnacentral:rRNA from 1 species
UGGCGGACGGGUGAGUAACGCGUGGGUAACCUGCCUUAUACAGGGGGAUAACAACCAGAAAUGGUUGCUAAUACCGCAUAAGCGCACAGGACCGCAUGGUCCGGUGUGAAAAACUCCGGUGGUACAGGAUGGGCCCGCGUCUGAUUAGCUGGUUGGCAGGGUAACGGCCUACCAAGGCAACGAUCAGUAGCCGGUCUGAGAGGAUGAACGGCCACAUUGGGACUGAGACACGGCCCAGACUCCUACGGGAGGCAGCAUG